UCUUUGGGGAUCCCUUGAGCCAGAGCUGUCAGUUCCUCCAAAAAGCUAAUGAAGGAGAACGCAGACUGUUGGUGACGAGGCAAUGAAGGCCCUCAUCAUCUCCAAUUAGCGUUUACUGGGAAGGGGGGGGAGCCUGUGGCCUGGGGGAGGAAUCACCCCCCCGCCAAGCCCUUCCGCUUCACUCCUACCCAGUGUCAGUUUGGCACCGUUCUGUCGGGUUUUCAAGUUCGGCCCUUUCUUGUGUGACGGUCUACGUGCCCCCUGCCCUCCCUGGACUGUACGCUGAAAGCAGGCGUCUUGGUUCAGACUUGGCAGCCGCUGCACCGCCCGACCUGGCUGCCCCUCCCGGGCUGGGAGCCUAGUACUUAGCUCGUUUUACCCCUUUCCUGCGUCGCCCCUUUUUGAGGCUAUAUUUUUUUAACGAGUAGCAAACAACUUCCUGAGAUGUGGUUCCAUGUAACUUCCCAGUUUUAAUUAGCCUCGUCACCUUAAAUGCACCCUGUCUCCCAGAGAGAUGGCGCUGCGAGCUAGGACCCUCCUCUCCCAAGCAAGACCUGACUUCAAAAUACAGCUCCAAGUUUAGAAAGGCACGGAGCGUGCCAGUGCGCGCAAGGAAGACGGCAGACUGGUGGUAACUUGGCGGGGAGGGCCGGUUCACUCCUCAGCAGGAGCUCUGCCUUAGCCUCGUGGGCAUUCGCUGUGUGCUGUGCUGUUGGCUCUGAAAGCGGGCGCAAUCUCUCCGCUGUGUCCUCCUCCCACACACUGGAAUGGCCCUCCGCGUGCCUACCUCUAACGUCCUCGGGGGCUCAGCUGAGAUGGCACCUCCUGCCACGGCCCUUCAGAUUGCAACUCUGAAUCCAGGUCCUGUUAGUAUUCUACGUGAGGAAGUGAGUACUCGAGACGUUUCUGCUGCAUGCUGAAGUCACGGCGGACACCAGGAGGGGAACCCGUGAGCGAUGAUUUGAGUUUCCAGCCCAGUUUCUCUCUUCCGGUUUCCAAUACGGCGAAUAUCAAUAAAUACAGC